UAUCUCUGUAGAGUCUGCAUAUCAAUAAGCGGAGGAAAAGAAACUAACUAGGAUUCCCUUAGUAACGGCGAGUGAAGCGGGAAGAGCUCAAAUUUGAAAUCUUCAAGGUUUUACCUUGACGAAUUGUAGUUUAAAGAAGUGUUUUCUGUUGGUGUUUUGGUAAAAGUUCUUUGGAAUAGGACAUCAUAGAGGGUGAGAAUCCCGUAUUUGACCAUUACUUCCAGCGUUGUGAUACACUUUCAAAGAGUCGGGUUGUUUGGGAAUGCAGUCCAAAAUGGGUGGUAAAUUUCACCUAAAGCUAAAUAUUGGCGAGAGACCGAUAGCGAACAAGUACCGUGAGGGAAAGAUGAAAAGAACUUUGAAAAGAGAGUUAAACAGUACGUGAAAUUGUCAAAAGGGAAGCGUUUGACACCAGUGUUGUUUUUCCAGAAAUCAAUUACGAAUGGCUUGAUUCUGUGUUGUAUUGACCUUAUCAGCUUUCUGCACUUUUUUUGAGUCUUUCUUAAUGCACUUUUUGGUUAACAAGUCAACAUCAAUUUCUUUUGUUGUAAAAGAGUAUUCGGAAGGUGGCUUUCUUUUCGGAGAAAGUGUUUAUAGCCCUUAUACUUCUACAAUCGGAGAGAUUGAGGUCUGCAGCGUAGAUCCUUCGGGGCUUAGAUACACUUUGUGCUAAGUUGUAGCUUUUCAUAGACAACUUGUUGACUAUGUUUAGUCAUGCGGCUUACUCGCUUAUGCUAUUUUACCUACGCUUAGGAUGUUGACGAGACUGUCGAUCUCAUCUAUACAUGACUCUGUGCAUAUCAAUAAGCGGAGGAAAAGUAAAUGCCGUAUACCUACGCUUAGGAUGUUGACGAGACUGUCGAUCUC
rnacentral:rRNA from 1 species